CGUUUUAUUUUCACAGAUUUCUUUUCAUUGUAUUCCUCCACGAAAAUAUGGCCAUAAUUAAGCUCUGAAGCUCAAUGUUGACUUGACUUCUUUUCCCUUUUGUGGAGAAGAAAGAGAAGCUUAAGCAGGAAAGCGUUUGGAGUCGACUCUAUCAUGCCCAGUAAUCGGCUUGCCUCCCAAAAGUAUGCAACCCUUUAAACGUGUGAGAAAGCCAGGUGUUCAAGGAGCCAAACAAAAGAUAUUCUACAUCUAUAAGGUUCUUACAUUCCGUCGCUUUGGGAAAUCCCAUCUACAACCGUUCCAAUCAAUUCCAAAGGAUCUUAAUGACUUGACUCUCGUGUUAUCUGCAAAGCUAUUCAUAGGGGGUUUAACAGAGUUUACCGGGGCCUUAAGGCCUGCCACAACAGAGCCUCAAAAGACCCACAAAUUUAUUCCCUACGUUUGAGCACCAUAAGCAGAUGGCUUGAACCAUCUCAAUGGGGUUUAAGUUGCGUUUUGAAUUGCGUUCCAAAUAUUGAAACUAUGCGGAAAGUGGUUCCACAUUUCAUUUGUACUUGAGGUAUUCCUAUGUGGAAUAUCUACUGUUAAAAAAAGGAAGUUUAAACAUCUUAAAGCUUCCAAAAUGUGUCUGUUUCAAUUCAUGUUAAAACCCCACAAAACAGAGUUCCAUACUGCGAAAACUUUCCCAUUUUAUACUUACUUACUUUUCCACAAAAUGUUUUCCCAGUUGCAACAAUGUUGCCAAGUAUUUGGCACGGUAUUUUUUUUCAUUAAUUUCUCAAAUAGAACCUACAAUUAUUGACUGCAACGGUAUGGUUUUGGUUCUCUGGCCCACGCCCCGUCAAUUUCGUACGGUCGUCGCCCACUCAAAUCCUCUGCCCCGCCGUUCUGGACCUGAACCUGAACCUGAACCUGGACCAGGACCCAUCCGAAACUUUGGCGAAAUAAACAUUUUCCAACAAAAACUAAACCAAACCAAUGGCGACCACAUUGAAACAAAUAACGAAAGUAGCAGCAACAGCAACAACAACAGCGGCAACGGCAACACUGGUAAUAGUAGUAUCUGCAACAUCUGUUUGAACAAAUAACCAAAACACGAAAUUGGGGCAGAGCCUCCUUUUGCCUUAAUUUGUAUUUUUGGUGGCCACGAAAACCAUCCUCGCUCAUUCAGUAUUUUUGGAGCACCUCCUCCGUCCAGUAUUUUUGGGUAACUGCGCCCGCGAUUUCGUCUGUCAGAUGCUGGCACUUGAACGGUGUACCAGCUGUGUCUCCUAAUCCCCAAACCGAAGAUACUUGGACUGGAUGGAAUUGCACUAGUCUACAAGAGACUGAAUCAAAUUAUGGAUAGCCUGAAAAUUAAAUUAAAAAUUAACUUUAUUUAUUUAUUUUGAAAUGAAAUGCUUACAAAUUGUAUACUUAAUUUAUGGAAAGUUUUCA